GUUUAAAAUCAAUUAAUCCAACUUUGCAAGUGUCAAUGUUUCUUCACAGUGUUGUUACUCCAGACAGUCUUGUCUCUUCCUUGUGCCUUUUUCACCACUUUAUUCAACUUUUAGUAAUCAACGGUUAAAGUUUAUUGAUUUCAUCGAACUUGGUACUUGAGCAAUUAUUAAAAUCUGGAUGAUGAAAGGAAAUGGUGUAAGAAAAAGGACCUUGGUUUCCAUGCUUGUCAAUCAAUAGUUUCAAUCAACAUUCAACCUUCUUCCAUGGGCAAAUUUGUAUCAAUAAGAUGACAUGCAGAGACAAAUUUUAGACUCAACCACUAACCUCGAAGGCAUCAUUAAGACUAACUUUCAACUGGAUCAUGUAAUAUACGGAUCUUUUGUUGCUAUUGAUGACAUUAUCGUUUGAUUGAGUUGUUCUGAGUGAAUUCCUUUCCUUCAUCUUUAUCAGUUCAAACUGAUUUCCUGGACUUUGAGUAGAAGGAAAGAAAAAACGUUACAUUUUUUCUCCUUCAUGUAAAACUAAGUCUCAAAUAAGUGAUUCUGUUUAUCGAGAAUUAAAUGAAAAAGGAUUGUGAAGGCAUAAUGCAAGUAAUGCUACAUCAAUGAACCAGUAAAGUAUCAUUUAUGAAAUUAUGAACCAGAUAAAAAUGAAGGAAGGAUAAAAAUGGCCAUAAUCUUAUAAAUGAGGGGAGGUAUCCAUCAUGAAAGAGAUGAACGUUUUACAAAAAGAGUUAAUGAUUGAGGGGGAAAAUAUCAUCAAAACUCCCUUGGUUGGAUGAAAGAGUCUCCAUGAAGAUGAUUCUAAGGUUUCACUAUCCAAUGUAAGAUAUAAUUGAAGCUUUUGAUGGCGUUGGCUUUGGAGUAAUGUUUCAUCCAACCGAAUAAAACAAAUAUCAAACAAGCAAGAAAUAAAGGAGAGACUGGGAAGGAGAGGAAGAAAACUAAACAGUCUAAUUGACUUGAAUCCAAAAUAGUAUGCAGUAAAAGGAUGCUCAAUGAUGUCUCGCCUUACCAUCAAAAAAUCCAGUUGAGAAUGAUGUUGACUGGAAAUAACAAUGGUAAAUACUGGAAAUCAUCAUUAUUUAAUCAUUCCAUUGAUUUGUAGAGAAACCUGAACAGCCGAGAGAGAAGCUUAUUGUUUUUAAUGGGAAAACAAUUUUCACAGUUUGGACCCCAAAAUUAUAAUAGAUUAUUUAUAUCUUUAUUUUUGAUAUGGAAGGAGACGAAAAUUGGAAAAAUCUGAAACAAAGUUGAAAACUUGGAGAAAAGGAUUCAAAAUUAAUACCAGUGAUCAGCCUCACAAUAUAUUAUUAAUGUUCAGUCUUGGUGACUCUGGAAUCGUUCAUUUGACUCAUCGAUUUUUAAUACUUGAAUGGUAAAUUUGUAGCUUUGUGUAACUGCAACUUGAACAAUUGAAUUGGAGUUAUUGGUCUGACCACAUAUUUUCACUGGAAUAAAAUUUUCUGGAUCAAUCUAACAUGAGAAAGUUUGGUUUGAAGGCAACAUAAAACAAGUUAUGAUCAAAUCUUUGGGAAUGGUUGAAGGUUGUCUGAUAAAUCACUUGGAAAUCAAUCCAUGGAAUAGUUUUCUGAGUAAUUUAAUUAUUCCACAAAAUGUUAUCAAUAUUUAAAAUGUUGAUCGUUUGAAGGGAAAUGUCUUAAAUUAAUCAAGAUUCUAAGAAUUCACAAAUCAAAUAAUUGAUGGCUGGAAAAUGGAAGAAUGGAUAAAAUAGUUUGCAGGCAAAGAAUCAGAAGUAAAUUGUUUGGAAUGUAUAGAAACAUUUACAUCAAUUUACUAUACUUUUCCCCUUCUCUUCUCUCUUUACUCACCAAACUAAAGUCAUCAGGAAUCAUCAGGAAUUACAAGAAAAAAAAGAUAGAGAGAAAAGGAAAUGUGUAUAGAUAUAAAUGAACAUUAUUAUGAUUAUUACCAUUAUCAUUUUAUACAGUUUAGUUAAAGGUAAUGAUUAGAUGAGGAGAAAAGUCAGUGAAAUGAUUAAAUUGUAGAGUAACAACAUAAACGUUGCUCAUUCAAUGGAUUAAUGUAAACACAUCUAACCAUCUAUGUUUGUAUUUGGCAUUAUAAAUGUAAAUUGAAGGAGUUUUAGGGAAGAUUUAAACGGAAAGAAAGAGGUGAAAAGAGAAAAUUUGAUACACGAAGAAGAAGAGAGGAGAAGGAAGCAGUUGAUGACUGUUCAUCUAAUGCACAUUAACGUUCAUUUAUCCAGAUUAAUAAUAUUCAAAAUUCAGAGAAAUACAAGAACGUAGAAAGAUUUGUUUUGUAGAUUUUUUUCUCUCUUCUCUCCUCAUUCAGCCUCGCUCUAUCUCUCUUUAACCGUCGUCAUUAUCAUCGAUCCAAUGUUCAUCAAACUCACCCCAUUCCCUUCUAUCGUUGUACAAUGAUCAUUCCAUCCUACAUGAUUUUACUUACAAAGAGUUUCUUUUUGCCUCUUCUCUUUACCUGACUUUUUCUUCUUCUUCUUCUCCUUCUCAUGUUCAUCUUCCCUGAUGCUUCCAACUACUUUGCUCAGGAUAAAUCAUCAGAGAUUUUAUAGAAAUGGUCUUCUCUCUUAGUCUCUCAUAUUCAUCAAAAUCAUCACCAUCACCAGUGUAUUCAUCAUUUACAUUAACAAUUCCUCCAGCUUUUCUCUUCUUCUUCUUGUAUUUUCCCUUUUACUUUUCAAAUCAUUAACUGAACAUGAUCAUUCCUCUAUCGAGUUGCUGAUAGAUUUGUCAUCAUGUUAGUUAUGAAGAUAACAAGGUAAAUGAAUUGGCAGGGUAAAUUAGUUUACAUGAGCGUAUCAUCUUCGUAACAAUUUAUUAGCAAUGGAAACCAAUGACCAGCUUCUUGCCUCUGCAUUGUGACCAGAAGGAAAGCCAUUUAAUCAACGUUACAAUGUAACUAAAUUGUUUAUUGGCCCAUAUCAUUGCAUAUAUCAAUUAACCUUGAUUAUUGACCCUCGUUUUCAAUAAUAUCAUAUUUGAGGAGAAACUUUCUUCAUAAUAUUAAUUAUUAACAAGUUUCAAGUUUGCUGCUCAAACUCAACUCACCAGAAAAGGCAAAUCAAAUUAUCAUUCCAAGUUUUAGAUACAAUACAAUAAAUAUUUGUAUCUGAGCAUGAAUCGAGUUAUAUUUUGAUAGGAAAGAAAUCAAUUAAAUUUUAUAAGCAAUAAAAUUUAUCGGUUAAUAUUAAACUUUAAU